GUGGGGAAUCUUCCGCAAUGGACGAAAGUCUGACGGAGCGACGCCGCGUGAGUGAAGAAGGCCUUCGGGUCGUAAAGCUCUGUCAUCAGGGACGAACGGCCGGUGGAGUGAAAGCCACCGGAUUGACGGUACCUGAGAAGGAAGCCACGGCUAACUACGUGCCAGCAGCCGCGGUAAUACGUAGGUGGCAAGCGUUGUCCGGUAUUAUUGGGCGUAAAGCGCGCGCAGGUGGGAUCUUAAGUCCAUUUUUAAAGUUCGGAGCGCAACUCCGUGAUGGGAUGGGAACUGGGAUUCUUGAGGACCGGAGAGGAAAGCGGAAUUCCCCGUGUAGCGGUGAAAUGCGUAGAUAUGGGGAGGAACACCAGUGGCGAAGGCGGCUUUCUGGACGGUGUCUGACACUGAGGCGCGAAAGCCAGGGGAGCGAACGGGAUUAGAUACCCGGGUAGUCC
rnacentral:rRNA from 1 species